rnacentral:rRNA from 1 species
GGGGGGGGCAAGCGUUGUUCGGAAUUACUGGGCGUAAAGGGCUCGUAGGCGGCCAACUAAGUCGGAUGUGAAAUCCCCAGGCUUAACCUGGGAACUGCAUCCGAUACUGGAUGGCUUGAAUUCGGGAGAGGGAUGCAGAAUUCCAGUUGUAGCGGUGAAAUGCGUAGAUAUCUGGAGGAAUACCGGUGGCGAAGGCGGCAUCCUGGACCGAGAUUGACGCUGAUGAGCGAAAGCUAGGGGAGCAAACGGGAUUAGAUACCCCGGUAGUCCUAGCCCUAAACGAUGAAUGCUUGGUGUGGCGGGUAUCGAUCCCUGCCGUGCCGAAGCUAACGCAUUAAGCAUUCCGCCUGGGGAGUACGGUCGCAAGGCUG